rnacentral:rRNA from 1 species
CCUACGGGCGGCAGCAGUAGGGAAUCUUCCACAAUGGGCGAAAGCCUGAUGGAGCAACGCCGCGUGGGUGAAGAAGGUCUUCGGAUCGUAAAACCCUGUUGUUAGAGAAGAAAGUGCGUGAGCGUAACUGUUCACGUUUCGACGGUAUCUAACCAGCAAGCGACGGCUAACUACGUGCCAGCAGCCGCGGUAAUACGUAGGUGGCAAGCGUUAUCCGGAUUUAUUGGGCGUAAAGGGAACGCAGGCGGUCUUGUCAGUCUGAUGUGAAAGCCUUCGGCUUAACCGGAGUAGUGCAUUGGAAACUGGGAGACUUGAGUGCAGAAGAGGAGAGUGGAACUCCAUGUGUAGCGGUGAAAUGCGUAGAUAUAUGGAAGAACACCAGUGGCGAAAGCGGCUCGCUGGUCGGUAACUGACGCUGAGGUUCGAAAGCGUGGGGAGCAAACAGGAUUAGAUACCCGGGUAGUC